UCUUAAUCUCUUGUUCUCUAUCAAUAACAUAUUAUUUUGAAGCAUUAUUUCAUCGAUUGUGCAUUCUUCUUAUUUUGCAGUUGAGCCUAUUCCCUCACUGUUGCCUUCAACCCACAAAAAAAAAAAUUACAACCCUGGGUCUUCAUUUCUUACAUUCAACAAAAAAAAAAAUCAGAAUAUUAAAAACCUAAUAAUGCAUCUUAAACCCAAAUUGCAAGAAAAUGGCAGAGCAAAACCCUAAACCCUAAUUUACCUAUUUGAAGUUCGCAC
rnacentral:lncRNA from 1 species